UUUCUUUUAGUUUCCGGUGUCUCUGCAAUGGCGGCUCUAGACUCCCUGUCGCUCUUCACUAGCCUCGGCCUGAGCGAGCAGAAGGCCCGUGAGACGCUCAAGAACUCGGCUCUGAGCGCGCAGCUGCGCGAGGCCGCUACUCAGGCUCAGCAGACCCUGGGUUCCACCAUUGACAAAGCUACCGGGAUCCUGUUAUAUGGCUUGGCCUCCCGACUCAGGGAUACCCGGCGUCUCUCCUUCCUUCUGCCCUUGAGUAUGUGCGGAGUCACCCCUUGGACCCCAUCGACACUGUGGACUUCGAGCGGGAAUGUGGCGUGGGUGUCAUUGUGACCCCAGAGCAGAUUGAGGAGGCUGUGGAGGCUGCUAUUAACAGGCACCGGCCCCAGCUCCUGGUGGAACGUUACCAUUUCAACAUGGGGCUGCUGAUGGGUGAGCAGGGCCUGGAACGGGGCUAUAUUGUUCUCUCUGGUCAUGCCUUUUCUUCUGGGCACGAGUGAGAAGGAGUUGGGGGAAGGAACAGGAGUGACUUAAAGUGGUCUGGCUGGGCUCAGGCUCUGGUUCUGGUGGUCAGCCAGGACCUUUC
rnacentral:sRNA from 1 species